rnacentral:rRNA from 1 species
UGGGGAAUAUUGGACAAUGGGCGAAAGCCUGAUCCAGCAAUGCCGCGUGAGUGAAGAAGGCCUUCGGGUUGUAAAGCUCUUUUACCCGGGAAGAUAAUGACUGUACCGGGAGAAUAAGCCCCGGCUAACUCCGUGCCAGCAGCCGCGGUAAUACGGAGGGGGCUAGCGUUGUUCGGAAUUACUGGGCGUAAAGCGUACGUAGGCGGUUAUCCAAGUCAGAGGUGAAAGCCCGGGGCUCAACUCCGGAACUGCCUUUGAAACUAGGUAGCUAGAAUCACGGAGAGGUAAGUGGAAUUCCGAGUGUAGAGGUGAAAUUCGUAGAUAUUCGGAAGAACACCAGUGGCGAAGGCGGCUUACUGGACGUGUACUGACGCUGAGGUGCGAAAGCGUGGGGAGCAAACAGGAUUAGAUACCCCAGUAGUCCCUGAGCGGGCUGGCAAGGCGCAU